rnacentral:rRNA from 1 species
GACGAACGCUGGCGGCGUGCUUAACACAUGCAAGUCGAACGGAAAGGCCCUGCUUUUGUGGGGUGCUCGAGUGGCGAACGGAUGAGUAACAAGUGAGUAACCUGCCCUUGACUUUGGGAUAACUACAGGAAACUGGGGCUAAUACCGGCUAGGAGCUCCUGCUGAAUGGUGGGGGUUGGAAAGUUUCGGCGGUUGGGGAUGGACUCGCGGCUUAUCAGCUUGUUGGUGGGGUAGUGGCUUACCAAGGCUUUGACGGGUAGCCGGCCUGAGAGGGUGACCGGCCACAUUGGGACUGAGAUACGGCCCGGACUCCUACGGGAGGCAGCAGUAGGGAAUAUUGCACAAUGGGCGGAAGCCUGAUGCAGCAACGCCGCGUGCGGGAUGACGGCCUUCGGGUUGUAAACCGCUUUCGCCUGUGACGAAGCGUGAGUGACGGUAAUGGGUAAAGAAGCACCGGCUAACUACGUG